ACACAACCAGCAGAAACUAUGCCCGCAGACCCUACAGGUCAUGUGCAUACACCCUUCAUUCUUUUCAAUCGGACGCCUGCAGUUGGGACAAGGCUUGCAAUAUGUUAGUAUGUAGUUUAUAUUUUCAGACUCAGAUUGAUUCUUUGAAAUCCACUUUUUCACAGUGUCACAAUCCACAGGACGAUGACUCUCCUCAUCGCAAUUCCAGCAAAAGCUAGUAAAACAAUCGCAAGUAACAUCAAAGCUUCCAUCUCCAUCCAAAAACUCAAUGGCAUU
rnacentral:lncRNA from 1 species